CGGUUGGUUUGAAACAAACUGCGCCAUUUAAUAGCUGCUGGAAUGUCAAACGACUUGGAAGCUUUCGUCGUCCGUUCCGAAUUUUCUCAACUUUUCUUAUUACAAAUAAGUGAACUCACAACCUGUCGGUUCAGGCCCCAGGUCAAGACCACCAUGGAUGCAAAUGCCACCGUUGGCGUUCUGAUGUAACAGUUAUAGUACUAGUGCCAAACUGGAAAGAGUGUCCUAUUCAACUUCACGGUGACGUAUCAAAGUGUAGUAUUCGCAAAAUUGGACGGCGUUGAAGAGUGUUGCCCGGUGAAUCAAGACACAGGACAUCACUUUUUUAUCUAAUAGUUGGAGCAGAGUAGUGUGUGUGUAGGCUGUGGUUUGCUCCACCGAUGAGAGACACCGAGAUUCAAUCCUCUCAUCAGAGAUGAGUGGACUAUCAAUUCUGUCACAUAACUACAUACGACAUCAAGUUUCAAUAUUUGUUCACAACUUCUGAC